rnacentral:rRNA from 1 species
ACGAACGCUGGCGGCGUGCCUAAUACAUGCAAGUCGAACGCUUCUUUUUCCACCGGAGCUUGCUCCACCGGAAAAAGAGGAGUGGCGAACGGGUGAGUAACACGUGGGUAACCUGCCCAUCAGAAGGGGAUAACACUUGGAAACAGGUGCUAAUACCGUAUAACAAUCGAAACCGCAUGGUUUUGAUUUGAAAGGCGCUUUCGGGUGUCGCUGAUGGAUGGACCCGCGGUGCAUUAGCUAGUUGGUGAGGUAACGGCUCACCAAGGCGACGAUGCAUAGCCGACCUGAGAGGGUGAUCGGCCACAUUGGGACUGAGACACGGCCCAAACUCCUACGGGAGGCAGCAGUAGGGAAUCUUCGGCAAUGGACGAAAGUCUGACCGAGCAACGCCGCGUGAGUGAAGAAGGUUUUCGGAUCGUAAAACUCUGUUGUUAGAGAAGAACAAGGAUGAGAGUAACUGUUCAUCCCUUGACGGUAUCUAACCAGAAAGCCACGGCUAACUACGUGCCAGCAGCCGCGGUAAUACGUAGGUGGCAAGCGUUGUCCGGAUUUAUUGGGCGUAAAGCGAGCGCAGGCGGUUUCUUAAGUCUGAUGUGAAAGCCCCCGGCUCAACCGGGGAGGGUCAUUGGAAACUGGGAGACUUGAGUGCAGAAGAGGAGAGUGGAAUUCCAUGUGUAGCGGUGAAAUGCGUAUAUAUAUGGAGGAACACCAGUGGCGAAGGCGGCUCUCUGGUCUGGAACUGACGCUGAGGCUCGAAAGCGUGGGGAGCAAACAGGAUUAGAUACCCUGGUAGUCCACGCCGUAAACGAUGAGUGCUAAGUGUUGGAGGGUUUCCGCCCUUCAGUGCUGCAGCUAACGCAUUAAGCACUCCGCCUGGGGAGUACGACCGCAAGGUUGAAACUCAAAGGAAUUGACGGGGGCCCGCACAAGCGGUGGAGCAUGUGGUUUAAUUCGAAGCAACGCGAAGAACCUUACCAGGUCUUGACAUCCUUUGACCACUCUAGAGAUAGAGCUUCCCCUUCGGGGGCAAAGUGACAGGUGGUGCAUGGUUGUCGUCAGCUCGUGUCGUGAGAUGUUGGGUUAAGUCCCGCAACGAGCGCAACCCUUAUUGUUAGUUGCCAUCAUUUAGUUGGGCACUCUAGCAAGACUGCCGGUGACAAACCGGAGGAAGGUGGGGAUGACGUCAAAUCAUCAUGCCCCUUAUGACCUGGGCUACACACGUGCUACAAUGGGAAGUACAACGAGUCGCAAAGUCGCGAGGCUAAGCUAAUCUCUUAAAGCUUCUCUCAGUUCGGAUUGUAGGCUGCAACUCGCCUACAUGAAGCCGGAAUCGCUAGUAAUCGCGGAUCAGCACGCCGCGGUGAAUACGUUCCCGGGCCUUGUACACACCGCCCGUCACACCACGAGAGUUUGUAACACCCGAAGUCGGUGAGGUAACCUUUUGGAGCCAGCCGCCUAAGGUGGGAUAGAUGAUUGGGGUG